GAUGAACGCUGGCGGCGUGCCUAAUACAUGCAAGUCGAGCGAAGCGGGGACGGGUGAGUAACGCGUGGAUAACCUCCUAUAAGUAUGGGAUAACUUCGGAAAACCGGAGCUAAACCGGAUACUUAGAGAUGGCUCCUCGGUGCAUUAGCUAGUUGGUAAGGGAACGGCUUACCAAGGCAACGAUGCAUAGCCGACCUGAGAGGGUGAUCGGACACACGGGAACUGAGACACGGCCCAGACUCCUACGGGAGGCAGCAGUAGGGAAUCUUCGGCAAUGGGCGAAAGCCUGACGGAGCAAUGCCGCGUGAGUGAUGAAGGUUUUCGGAUCGUAAAACUCUGUUAUUAGGGAAGCGGUACCUAAUCAGAAAGCCACGGCUAACUACGUGCCAGCCGCCGCGGUAAUAC
rnacentral:rRNA from 1 species